rnacentral:tRNA from 1 species
GUCUGUGUAGAUUAAUUUUAAAUUGUAAGGCUGUUAACCUUAAGAUAAUGUUGUUUUUGCAGACG